UGUCCUGACAUUCUUCUGAUAAUUCACUGCACAUGGAAUCUCAGCUAGUGGUUGCUAAAUCCGCAGUAGACAGGCAACAGCAGCAGUAUGUUGGCUUUGCUAAUGAGAUUAUGGCAACCAUGUCUGAGUUGCACUCUACUCUUCCCCUGCCUCAGAACUCAAAAUUAAAACCCUAGGAGCUUUGGGGCAUAUUGUUUAUAAAGGUGCUUCUGGUGCUCUGGCAUCUCAUAUGAGAUGUGUCCGGGGAGGAAGAAUACCAAGGGUGACUGUCCUCUUGUAGAGCUCACACAUCUGCCAUGGAAGCAAUGGAUUUCUGUGCUGACCUGCUGAUGACAUAACUACGAUGCUGUUCUUCAUUGCCUUUAAUAUUUUGUUGUCUUCAGGUGCUCAGUUAGUUCUGCUGAAAUCCUUGCAUCAGGCAUUAAGUUCAGUAUUGCUUAUUCUAAAGGCCUUAAAGGUCAUGACUUGCAUAUAAGUGGUAGAUUUAUUUCAUAAUAGACUAAAUGACAAAG